GCUGGGUGUGGUGGUGUAUGCCUGUAAUCCUAAAGACUCAGGAAGCUGAGGCAGGAGGAUCUCAAAUUUGAGAUAGCUUCAGCAACUUAGGAAAGCCCCGGCAACUUAGUGAGACCCUGUCUCAA
rnacentral:sRNA from 1 species